GGGGUUAUGGUCUAACCUGGCUACGAUUGCCGGUUUGGGACCGGCCGAUCCCGGUUCAAAUCCGGGUAGCCCCA
rnacentral:tRNA from 1 species